rnacentral:lncRNA from 1 species
UAGCAUAAAUAAAUAUUGAGUUAAAUUUUGAAAGAUUAAAAGGUUGAAUACAUAAUUAUUAAUGGUUAUUAGACUUUUAAUUCAAUAAGUUACAUAAUCCAAGCACAUAUUUGUCUUUAAAAAAAACCCAAUGUAAUUACAGUGAAAUUUGCUACAAAUGGGAAUAGGUUCCUAAUGACCAAAACCAAGCAAUUAGGAUGAAAUCACUUUGGACUUAGUCACGAAAACAGGUUGUCUUGAAGCUUGUAGCAGCCACCUUCCAUUACAUCAAGUCUCUUCAAACCUGUAAUCUGCAGAAAACAAAAAUAGCUUAUUUUAAAAGCACUUUUCAAAAGCACUUAGAAAGCUGAAAAACAACUAAAUGAAUCAUUCAGUUUGAAGCUUUAUCCAUAAGGUUAAUCUAAAUAUCCAAAAAGCACUUUUAACAUUAGCUUAAAAUAGAAAAAACCAAAUCCCACAUAAUCUGGGAUGAGACAAAUUGAAAAAGAAAAGAGUUUUUAAAGUCUGAAUCUUGUCUUCAAAAAUGGAUUAGGAGAGGUUAACAGGAACACAACACAGUAAGAAAUUAUUUCUAAAAAAAAAACCAAAACAACAACAGCAACAACACAGAGAUUUUUUCUAAAACCCUAAAGAACACAACAGCAAGAACAGAUCAAUUUUUUCUAAGAGCCCUAAAAAGUUAACAGCAAGAGGAUACACAACAAAGAUAUUUUUCUCAAAACCCUAAACCAGUACACAACAGAAAACGCACAGCAAGAACAGCAACAGAGAGCAAUAUUUUCAAAAAAGCCCUAAAAAAAAACCGAAACAGAAGAAGGAGGCUUAUUUGAAGACGGGACGCAUCAAACUCAGCGUCAUCUUCUUCUUCUUCCAACGAAUCCUUCCAAACCUCCAACGAGCACCCUCACAAAACCACAAUUUCUCCGUCGGCCACAAUCAACCUUCAAUCGCUCCUCACCGGCGCAACCUCCAUGACGGCUUCAGUUGGUCUGUGAGGUCUCACAACCACAAUCGCUCAUUUUGGGAAAAUUUUGAAGGUACGAUUCUGAAGUUUCUGUUGUAAAAACCUAAUUAUGUUGGUGAGAACUUGGGCCUUUAGCCCAAUCAAUUUUGGCCUGCAUGCACACUCCCUCGAUGCUACUGCACCCCAUCCGAAUGGGCUUUGAUAGCCUUUGUUGAGCCCAUUCUCAACUUCUAUGGGCUUAUUCCUUUGUUUUUGGUUACUAGUUAAUAUAGGUUACUUAGCUUAAUU